CCUACGGGAGGCAGCAGUGGGGAAUAUUGGGCAAUGGGCGCAAGCCUGACCCAGCAACGCCGCGUGAAGGAAGAAGGCUUUCGGGUUGUAAACUUCUUUUAAGGGGGAAGAGCAGAAGACGGUACCCCUUGAAUAAGCCACGGCUAACUACGUGCCAGCAGCCGCGGUAAUACGUAGGUGGCAAGCGUUGUCCGGAUUUACUGGGUGUAAAGGGCGUGCAGCCGGAGAGACAAGUCAGAUGUGAAAUCCACGGGCUCAACCCGUGAACUGAAUUUGAAACUGUUUCCCUUGAGUGUCGGAGAGGUAAUCGGAAUUCCUUGUGUAGCGGUGAAAUGCGUAGAUAUAAGGAAGAACACCAGUGGCGAAGGCGGAUUACUGGACGAUAACUGACGGUGAGGCGCGAAAGCGUGGGGAGCAAACAGGAUUAGAUACCCCUGUAGUC
rnacentral:rRNA from 1 species